AGUUCAUGUAUUUUUUAAGUUAGACAAUGUGCAGGAGCUUUCCAUGCAUUUUUAAACAACUUUAAAUUGUGAAUUUGAACACUUGUCUUCUUUUGUGUCAUUAAUAAAUUAUUAUCUUUUGUAUAAAGUGGAUAUGAUUGUGAAGAUUAGAAAGGGUAAAUCAUUGAUAUUAAUCUGUGUUUUGGCAACCCCAACGAGAAUGUAUUUUUUCUGUUUAAAGAAAUCUCUUUCCUCUGUAAGAAA